CUAGCGGGACGGGCCCCUCUGGCGGCGCUUCGGCGGCGUGAUGUCGGACCGCAUUC
rfam:Brevundimonas diminuta ATCC 11568 genomic scaffold BDIM_scaffold00003, whole genome shotgun sequence.